rnacentral:lncRNA from 1 species
GGAGAUUGAAUGGUAUCCAGGAAAAUGUUUAACACAGAAACUUCUUAAGAAGAAGCCUAAAAAGGGAUCAAAGAAUGCCAAGCCAAUCACUAAAACUGAGGAUUGUGAAAGUUUCUUCAACUUCUUUAAUCCGCCUCAAGUGCCUGAAGAUGAUGAAGAUAUUGAUGAAGAUACAGUAUGACGAUGUCAUUACAUUGUAUUAAUGAAAUGACAAUUUUAUUGCAUAUUGCAUGUAUUAACUUUUCCCUAUGUUCUUGACUAGGCUGAGGAGCUUCAGAAUCAAAUGGAACAAGAUUAUGACAUUGGGUGAGUUCUUUAUAAUCUACUCUUUUGUUAUGGAUGGAUUUCACUAAGUGUAAAUCCUGGUGGUAAUGCUCCUGGGAAGUAAUAGUAAUAUAGUGGAAUUCUAAAUCAAACUCUUGCUUUUUUCUCUCCUUGCAUCCUUGUUUCCGCAUGUAAUAACUUUUUUUGUUUACUAUUGAAAUUUUUAUUCAGGUCAACCAUUCGAGACAAGAUUAUCCCUCAUGCUGUAUCUUGGUUUACGGGUGAGGCAAUGGAGGGAGAUGAGCUUGGAAUGGAAGACGAUGACGAGGAUGAAGAUAUUGAUGAAGAGGAUGAUGAAGACGAUGAAGAAGAAGAGGAUGAGGAGGAUGAAGAGGAAAGCAAAACCAAAAAGGUCUGACAGUAUUUUAUUGCUGCCCUGUUGUUUUUCCUACUUUUUCUCUUUUGGGUUUUUAAUUUGAUGUGCUAAUCAUUGUUUUUGUCAAUUGGGU